rnacentral:rRNA from 1 species
UACAGAGGUGGCAAGCGUUGUUCGGAAUUACUGGGCGUAAAGCGCGCGUAGGCGGCUUUGCAAGCCGGAUGUGAAAUCCCCGGGCUUAACCUGGGAACUGCAUUCGGGACUGCAUUGCUAGAGUAUGGGAGAGGGAAGUGGAAUUUCAGGUGUAGCGGUGAAAUGCGUAGAUAUCUGAAGGAACAUCAGUGGCGAAAGCGACUUCCUGGACCAAUACUGACGCUCAUGUGCGAAAGCGUGGGGAGCAAACAGG